rnacentral:rRNA from 1 species
ACUCAAAUGAAUAGACGGGGGCCCGCACAAGCGGAGGAACAUGUGGUUUAAUUCGAUGAUACGCGAGGAACCUUACCCGGGCUUGAAUUGCAUCUGAAUACAGCAGAAACGUUGUAGCCAGCAAUGGCAGAUGUGAAGGUGCUGCAUGGUUGUCGUCAGCUCGUGCCGUGAGGUGUCGGCUUAAGUGCCAUAACGAGCGCAACCCUCAUCAUUAGUUACUAACAGGUCAUGCUGAGGACUCUAAUGAGACUGCCGGCGUAAGCUGUGAGGAAGGUGGGGAUGACGUCAAAUCAGCACGGCCCUUACGUCCGGGGCGACACACGUGUUACAAUGGGGGGGACAGCAGGCAGCGAAGUGGUGACACCGAGCGAAUCCUCAAACCCUCUCUCAGUUCGGAUCGAAGUCUGCAACCCGACUUCGUGAAGCUGGAUUCGCUAGUAAUCGCGCAUCAGCCAUGGCGCGGUGAAUACGUUCCCGGGCCUUGUACACACCGCCGU